rnacentral:rRNA from 1 species
AUUGAACGCUGGCGGCAGGCCUAACACAUGCAAGUCGAGCGGAUGAAGGGAGCUUGCUCCUGGAUUCAGCGGCGGACGGGUGAGUAAUGCCUAGGAAUCUGCCUGGUAGUGGGGGAUAACGUCCAGAAACGGGCGCUAAUACCGCAUACGUCCUGAGGGAGAAAGUGGGGGAUCUUCGGACCUCACGCUAUCAGAUGAGCCUAGGUCGGAUUAGCUAGUUGGUGGGGUAAAGGCCUACCAAGGCGACGAUCCGUAACUGGUCUGAGAGGAUGAUCAGUCACACUGGAACUGAGACACGGUCCAGACUCCUACGGAAGGCAGCAGUGGGGAAUAUUGGACAAUGGGCGAAAGCCUGAUCCAGCCAUGCCGCGUGUGUGAAGAAGGUCUUCGGAUUGUAAAGCACUUUAAGUUGGGAGGAAGGGCAGUAAGUUAAUACCUUGCUGUUUUGACGGUACCAACAGAAUAAGCACCGGCUAACUUCGUG